GAUGAAGAGCGUAGCGAAAUGCGAUAAGUAAUGUGAAUUGCAGAAUUCAGUGAAUCAUCGAAUCUUUGAACGCACAUUGCGCCCGCUGGUAUUCCGGCGGGCAUGCCUGUUCGAGCGUCAUUUCAACCCUCAAGCUCUCCGGAGUUUGGUGUUGGGGCGCCUGGGGCUUUUCGACCUCAGGGCCCUCAAGUCCAUCGGCGGGACCGCCAGGACACUGAGCGCAGUAGUAUUAUUUCGCUCGGUAGGAUCUUCCACGGCGGGUCGAUCUGGCCGCUAAACCCCCCAAUUCUCACCAAAGGUUGACCUCGGAUCAGGUAGGAAUACCCGCUGAACUUAAGCAUAUCAAUAAGCGGAGGA
rnacentral:misc_RNA from 1 species